rnacentral:siRNA from 1 species
CAUCAAUGAUGCUAUGAAGAAGCC